rnacentral:snoRNA from 1 species
GCGAUCUUACUUGAACAAAAUCUGUUCUAUAGAAUCGCACCUCGGUAUCCUUUAGCAAAAAAAAAAUAAAAUAAUGGUUGUCACAACCA